AUACGGAGGAUCCGAGCGUUAUCCGGAUUUAUUGGGUUUAAAGGGUGCGCAGGCGGCCAUUUAAGUCAGCGGUUAAAUCGUGGGGCUCAACCCCAUUCUGCCGUUGAUACUGGGUGGCUUGAUUGCGGUCGAGGUUGGCGGAAUUCGUUGUGUAGCGGUGAAAUGCAUAGAGAUGACGAAGAACACCGAUUGCGUAGGCAGCUGACCAGACCGCAAAUGACGCUCAUGCACGAAAGUGCGGGGAUCGAACAGGAUUAGAUACCCUGGUAGUCCGCACAGUAAACGAUGAAUACUUGUUUUCGGCGAUAUAAUGUCGGAGGCAAAGCGAAAGCGAUAAGUAUUCCACCUGGGGAGUACGCCGGCAACGGUGAAACUCAAAGGAAUUGACGGGG
rnacentral:rRNA from 1 species